UGCGUAGGUGGCGCCGUAAGUGGGUGUGAAAUUUCGAGGCUUAACCUCGAAACUGCAUUCCAUACUGCGGUGCUUGAGGACUGGAGAGGAGACUGGAAUUUACGGUGUAGCAGUGAAAUGCGUAGAUAUCGUAAGGAAGACCAGUGGCGAAGGCGGGUCUCUGGACAGUUCCUGACACUGAGACACGAAGGCCAGGGAGCAAACG
rnacentral:rRNA from 1 species